rnacentral:siRNA from 1 species
UAGCUAGACGAUUUUAGCAUGCA